rnacentral:rRNA from 1 species
AUUGAACGCUGGCGGCAGGCCUAACACAUGCAAGUCGAACGGUAACAGGAAACAGCUUGCUGUUUCGCUGACGAGUGGCGGACGGGUGAGUAAUGUCUGGGAAACUGCCUGAUGGAGGGGGAUAACUACUGGAAACGGUAGCUAAUACCGCAUAACGUCGCAAGACCAAAGAGGGGGACCCUCGGGCCUCUUGCCAUCGGAUGUGCCCAGAUGGGAUUAGCCUGUUGGUGGGGUAACGGCUCACCAAGGCGACGAUCCCUAGCUGGUCUGAGAGGAUGACCAGCCACACUGGAACUGAGACACGGUCCAGACUCCUACGGGAGGCAGCAGUGGGGAAUAUUGCACAAUGGGCGCAAGCCUGAUGCAGCCAUGCCGCGUGUAUGAAGAAGGCCUUCGGGUUGUAAAGUACUUUCAGCGGGGAGGAAGGGAGUAAAGUUAAUACCUUUGCUCAUUGACGUUACCCGCAGAAGAAGCACCGGCUAACUCCGUG